GUAAGGUGAUGUCUAUUGGUUAAGCAUUGAGCUUUGGACCAGAAGAUCCUGUUCAAAUCCCAGCCUGACGGGAAAAUCACUAAGGGCUCUUUGGCAAGGUCCUUAAUCCCCUAGUUGCUCCCGGUGUGUAGGCAGUGUGUCUGAAUGCCUGUG